rnacentral:tRNA from 1 species
UCCCUGAUGGCUCAGAUGGUAAAGCGUCUGCCUGCAAUGCGGGAGACCUGGGUUUGAUCCCUGGUUUGGGAA